rnacentral:lncRNA from 13 species
UGCCUCGGCAAUGGCAGGCUGUGAUAGCAAUGGGAGUAUACUCCCAUUGGGGCGGAUUGCCUCGGCAAUGAAGGACGCCCCUCCCCCAUUGAGCUGCGUCAUCCCAGGCUCUGUUGUGUUCACAGUGAAACUCUCAAACCCAGAGAUGUUAAAUUGCAGUGAAAUCAUCAAAAAGAAGACACUUGAAAAGAGAAGUAAAUAUGAAAUAAGAGACACUGAUUAUAAAAUUGCCCAAAAAGCUAUUCAGCUGGAAAUUGUUCUUAUAAGUUAAUUAUUAUGCAUGAAAUUGUUAUGAAAUCUGAAACAAUUUGAGUCCAGCACUGAAAAGUAAUAAAAUUAAAAUGUAUUCCUCA